rnacentral:rRNA from 3 species
UACGGAGGGUGCAAGCGUUAUCCGGAUUCACUGGGUUUAAAGGGUGCGUAGGCGGCUAUUUAAGUCAGUGGUGAAAGCCCGCAGCUUAACUGUGGAAUUGCCAUUGAAACUGAGUAGCUCGAAUCUGGUUGAAGUGGGCGGAAUACAUCAUGUAGCGGUGAAAUGCAUAGAUAUGAUGUAGAACACCAAUUGCGAAGGCAGCUCACUAAGCCAACAUUGACGCUGAGGCACGAAAGCGUGGGGAGCAAACAGG